rnacentral:rRNA from 1 species
UACGUAGGGGGCUAGCGUUGUCCGGAAUCAUUGGGCGUAAAGCGCGUGUAGGCGGCCCGGUAAGUCCGCUGUGAAAGUCCAGGGCUCAACCCUGGGAUGCCGGUGGAUACUGUCGGGCUCGAGUCCGGAAGAGGCGAGUGGAAUUCCCGGUGUAGCGGUGAAAUGCGCAGAUAUCGGGAGGAACACCAAUGGCGAAGGCAGCUCGCUGGGACGGUACUGACGCUGAGACGCGAAAGCGUGGGGAGCAAACGGG